UACGAAGGGGGCUAGCGUUGUUCGGAAUCACUGGGCGUAAAGGGCGCGUAGGCGGCCGAUCAAGUCGGGGGUGAAAGCCUGUGGCUCAACCACAGAAUUGCCUUCGAUACUGUUUGGCUUGAGACCGGAAGGGGUAAGUGGAACUGCGAGUGUAGAGGUGAAAUUCGUAGAUAUUCGCAAGAACACCAGUGGCGAAGGCGGCUUACUGGUCCGGUUCUGACGCUGAGGCGCGAAAGCGUGGGGAGCAAACAGG
rnacentral:rRNA from 1 species